rnacentral:rRNA from 1 species
GUGGGGAAUAUUGGACAAUGGGCGCAAGCCUGAUCCAGCCAUACCGCGUGGGUGAAGAAGGCCUUCGGGUUGUAAAGCCCUUUUGUUGGGAAAGAAAUCCUGUCGGUUAAUACCUGGCGGGGAUGACGGUACCCAAAGAAUAAGCACCGGCUAACUUCGUGCCAGCAGCCGCGGUAAUACGAAGGGUGCAAGCGUUACUCGGAAUUACUGGGCGUAAAGCGUGCGUAGGUGGUGGUUUAAGUCCGUUGUGAAAGCCCUGGGCUCAACCUGGGAAUUGCAGUGGAUACUGGAUCACUAGAGUGUGGUAGAGGGAUGCGGAAUUUCUGGUGUAGCAGUGAAAUGCGUAGAGAUCAGAAGGAACAUCCGUGGCGAAGGCGGUAUCCUGGGCCAACACUGACACUGAGGCACGAAAGCGUGGGGAGCAAACAGGAUUAGAAACCCCGGUAGUCC